rnacentral:rRNA from 1 species
UACGUAGGGGGCAAGCGUUGUCCGGAUUUAUUGGGCGUAAAGAGCGUGUAGGCGGCCAGACAAGUCUGCUGUGAAAACUCGAGGCUCAACCUCGAGCUGUCGGUGGAAACUGUCUGGCUAGAGUCCGGAAGAGGGGAGUGGAAUUCCUGGUGUAGCGGUGAAAUGCGCAGAUAUCAGGAAGAACACCUAUGGCGAAGGCAGCUCUCUGGGACGGUACUGACGCUGAGACGCGAAAGCGUGGGGAGCGAACAGG